rnacentral:rRNA from 1 species
GACGUAGGGCGCAAGCGUUGUCCGGAUUUAUUGGGCGUAAAGAGCUCGUAGGCGGCUCGUUGCGUCGGCUGUGAAAACCCGCAGCUCAACUGUGGGCUUGCAGCCGAUACGGGCGGGCUGGAGUUCGGUAGGGGAGACUGGAAUUCCUGGUGUAGCGGUGAAAUGCGCAGAUAUCAGGAGGAACACCGGUGGCGAAGGCGGGUCUCUGGGCCGAUACUGACGCUGAGGUGCGAAAGCGUGGGGAGCGAACAGG